ACCAGGUGCAGUUGUGCACACCUGUAGCCCCAGAUACAUAGGAGGCUGUGGCAGGAGGAUCGCUUGAGUACAGGAGCUCUGGGCUGUAGUGCACUAUGCUGAUCAGGUGUCUGCACCAAGUUUGGCAUCAAUACGGUGACCUCUUGGGAGCAGAUCAAAACUCCUGUGCUGAUCAGGAGUGGGAUCACGCCUGUGAAUAGCCACUAUACUCUAGUCUGGGCAACAUGGCUAGACUCUGUUUCCA
ensembl:misc_RNA Metazoa_SRP Metazoan signal recognition particle RNA